AGGAGCGGCGAACGGGUGAGUAACACGUAUGGUUAUCUGCCCCGGGGUGAGGGACAACCGCGUUAACACGCGGCUAAUACCACAUAUGGUCUACGGAUCAAAGGCUUCGGCCGCCCUGGGAUGAGCCUGCGUCCCAUUAUUUAAUCCUGGUUGGUGGGGUAAUGGCCUACCAAGGGUACGAUGGGUAGCUGGUUUGAGAGAAUGAUCAGCCACACUGGGACUGAGACACGGCCCAGACUCCUACGGGAGGCAGCAGUGGGGAAUAUUGCGCAAUGGGCGAAAGCCUGACGCAGCCACGCCGCGUGAGUGAUGAAGGCCCGAGGGUCGUAAAGCUCUGUCGGGAGGGAAGAACACAAUGACGGUACCUCCCAAGAAAGCACCGGCUAACUCCGUGCCAGCAGCCGCGGUAAUACGGAGGGUGCAAGCGUUGCUCGGAAUCACUGGGCGUAAAGCGUACGCANGCGGCGUAUCAGGUCNGAUGUGAAAGCCCGGGGCUCAACCCCGGAACUGCAUUCGAAACCGGUAUGCUUGAGUACGGGAGAGGGAAGCGGAAUUCCUGGUGUAUAGGUGAAAUUCGUAGAUAUCAGGAGGAACACCCGUGGCGAA
rnacentral:rRNA from 1 species